CGUCAGCUCGUGUCGUGAGAUGUUGGGUUAAGUCCCGCAACGAGCGCAACCCUUAAGCUUAGUUGCCAGCAUUAAGUUGGGCACUCUAAGUUGACUGCCGGUGACAAACCGGAGGAAGGUGGGGAUGACGUCAAAUCAUCAUGCCCCUUAUGAUUUGGGCUACACACGUGCUACAAUGGACAAUACAAGGGGCAGCUAAACCGCGAGGUCAUGCAAAUCCCAUAAAGUUGUUCUCAGUUCGGAUUGUAGUCUGCAACUCGACUACAUGAAGCUGGAAUCGCUAGUAAUCGUAGAUCAGCAUGCUACGGUGAAUACGUUCCCGGGUCUUGUACACACCGCCCGUCACACCACGAGAGUCUGUAACACCCGAAGCCGGUGGAGUAACCAUUUAUGGAGCUAGCCGUCGAAGGUGGGACAAAUGAUUGGGGUGAAGUCGUAACAAGGUAGCCGUAUCGGAAGGUGCGGUUGGAUCACCUC
rnacentral:rRNA from 1 species